rnacentral:rRNA from 1 species
AUACGGAAGGUGCAAGCGUUAUCCGGAAUCACUGGGUUUAAAGGGUGCGUAGGCGGCGUAGUAAGUCAGAGGUGAAAGCUCACAGCUCAACUGUGGAACUGCCUUUGAUACUGUUAUGCUUGAAUUAGGAUGAGGUUGGCGGAAUGUGACAUGUAGCGGUGAAAUGCAUAGAUAUGUCAUAGAACAUCGAUUGCGAAGGCAGCUGACUGGACCUUAAUUGACGCUGAGGCACGAAAGCGUGGGGAGCGAACAGGAUUAGAAACCCCAGUAGUCC